ACCCAAGUGCAUGCCUAAGAAAACCUCUCAAGAAGCCAAGACCUUAACCAGAACCCAGCAGGCACAACCUCCACCAACUCAUAUGGGUUCCACCUGGCUCUGCUCCUCCCGGUGCCAAAGCAGGAGCGUAAGCUGCCAGAGAGGGGUCCGAGACUCUCCGCAACACUCCCGCCACUGUCCCAGAACCAAGAGGACACAACUAGGCCACCAGGUGUUGUCAUCCAGCCAGAGCAGAGUGAAGAAGGAAAAGGAGGGGGUAGAGGAGAACGGCAAGGAGGAGGGUGGCUGCCACAUGGUGGAGAAAAGUCCCACCUUACCACGUGUGAAUCUCUGGGUUCAUCCAGAAUCAGAAGUUACCAAGAAGUGUUUUAAGGUAUUUGGCUUGGUAAACACUCCCCACAGUCUCCUCUGGCUUUUCUGCCUGUGAUUUCUGAGUUAAUGUUUGCGAGUACAACACUGGGCACACAGUGGCAUUCUUCUGCCCAUACUGCUGGACCUACUUCUUCCUGAUUUUCACCUCCUGUCCCAAGAUGACACAGGUCUCCAGGUUCCCUUGGUUAUUUGAGAGUACUGACUUCCCUUGUUUCUGGACCACAGGUCCAUGGCAAAAUUCCAGUCCUAAAUUGCUCUCCCUGGCCCCAGCUCUACUUCCCUGCUGCUCUCCCAAAUGCACCAGCCCCCAGGGACCAAGCGGUGAAGGGGUGAGAAGAUCCCCUUUGGGGCCCCAGGGGUCACUAUAGGCUGCUUAGAGAAGAAGUACUGAGUAGCACUAGGCUACCCAGUUCCCUGCCUCAGCCUGGCUGGGACCCAGCCAGCGCGUUGGGACGCCCCUGCCGCGGCUGGCUGAAGCUUGUUGUCUAACCCGGCCUGGGGGCACCUGGGAGCGGGUGGAGGGUGGCCUGGCAGGGCUCAGAGAGCAGGCACACCCUGGGUGAGGUCAUGCCUGCCUCACACCUCUGGUAUUCCCGCUGAUCCCUAUCUCCUCCCACAGCCCUCAGGUUCCUGGGGCGGAGAUGCAGGCAAAAGACUACUGAUACUACAGUCUGGCCCCAGCCAAGACAGAGGCUGCAGCUGAGCCUCUACCUGCCCAUCCUCUGCUCCCAUCACCACCCCCACCCCCACCCCACCUCCUGCCUCUGCACCGGUGGACAGACAAGCCUGGCUGCCCCAUAGGAGAGACCCCUGCCCCAGUACUGACUCCUCCUGGGAAGGACCCUCCCACCCAUUCCUCCCUGAGGAAGCUGGGCAAGGAUGAGGGGCGCUGGAAGGCAGGUUUCCAGAGGGCUUCCCCUUGGAAGACACCCAGUCCCCUCCCACACUCUACCCUCUCGGCCUCCUUACCUCUACCUCAACUGAACCUUCAUCAUUUUGGUAACCAUUAUUAGUAGGGAUCCAUAUGGCUUUUCAUGCAAACGUUUGAGAAUGGA
rnacentral:lncRNA from 13 species